GUGCUCACUUCAGCAGCGCAUAUAAUAACUAGGACCAGUACAGAGAAAAAUAGUAUAGCUCCUCUGUAAGGAUGACACGCAAAUUCAUAAAGUGUACCAUAUUUUU